ensembl:Y_RNA Y_RNA Y RNA
GGCUGGUCCAAAGGUAAUGAGUUAUCUCAAUCGAUUGUUACAGACAGUUACAGAUUGAACUUUUUGUUCUACUUUUCCCCCCUUCUCACUACUGCACUUGUCUUAAA